rnacentral:rRNA from 1 species
AUUGAACGCUGGCGGCAGGCCUAACACAUGCAAGUCGAGCGGCAGCGGAAAGUAGCUUGCUACUUUGCCGGCGAGCGGCGGACGGGUGAGUAAUGUCCUGGGAAACUGCCUGAUGGAGGGGGGAUAACUACUGGAAACGGUAGCUAAUACCGCAUGACCCUCGAAAGAGCAAAGUGGGGGAUCUUCGGACCUCACGCCAUCGGAUGUGCCCAGAUGGGAUUAGCUAGUAGGUGAGGUAAUGGCUCACCUAGGCGACGAUCCCUAGCUGGUCUGAGAGGAUGACCAGCCACACUGGAACUGAGACACGGUCCAGACUCCUACGGGAGGCAGCAGUGGGGAAUAUUGCACAAUGGGCGCAAGCCUGAUGCAGCCAUGCCGCGUGUGUGAAGAAGGCCUUAGGGUUGUAAAGCACUUUCAGCGAGGAGGAAGGCAUCAUACUUAAUACGUGUGGUGAUUGACGUUACUCGCAGAAGAAGCACCGGCUAACUCCGUGCCAGCAGCCGCGGUAAUACGGAGGGUGCAAGCGUUAAUCGGAAUUACUGGGCGUAAAGCGCACGCAGGCGGUUUGUUAAGUCAGAUGUGAAAUCCCCGCGCUUAACGUGGGAACUGCAUUUGAAACUGGCAAGCUAGAGUCUUGUAGAGGGGGGUAGAAUUCCAGGUGUAGCGGUGAAAUGCGUAGAGAUCUGGAGGAAUACCGGUGGCGAAGGCGGCCCCCUGGACAAAGACUGACGCUCAGGUGCGAAAGCGUGGGGAGCAAACAGG